UACGUAGGGGGGCUAGCGUUGUCCGGAUUUAUUGGGCGUAAAGAGCGUGUAGGCGGCCAGGUAGGUCUGCUGUGAAAACUCGAGGCUCAACCUCGAGACGUCGGCGGAAACCAUCUGGCUAGAGUCCGGAAGAGGAGAGUGGAAUUCCUGGUGUAGCGGUGAAAUGCGCAGAUAUCAGGAGGAACACCGGUGGCGAAGGCGGGUCUCUGGGCCGAUAUUGACGCUGAGGAGCGAAAGCGUGGGGAGCGAACAGG
rnacentral:rRNA from 1 species